rnacentral:rRNA from 1 species
UAAGACGAACCGUCCUAACGUUGUUCGGAAUCACUGGGCUUAAAGGGCGCGUAGGCGGCCCUGUAAGUCGGGGGUGAAAGCCCACGGCCCAACCGUGGAAGUGCCUCCGAUACUGCGGGGCUCGAGGGAGGUAGGGGCAGCGGGAACUUCCGGUGGAGCGGUGAAAUGCGUUGAUAUCGGAAGGAACGCCGGUGGCGAAAGCGCGCUGCUGGACCUCUGCUGACGCUGAGGCGCGAAAGCCAGGGGAGCAAACGGGAUUAGAUACCCCGGUAGUCCUGGCCCUAAACGAUGGGCACUAGGUUGUGGACUGGUCAUGGGUUCCCAGCCGAAGCAAAAGUGUUAAGUGCCCCGCCUGGGGAGUAUGGUCGCAAGGCUG